UUUGAAGGGAAAAUGAAUAAUUAAAUGUCAGCUAUUUUUUAAAUCUGUUAUCAAUUGGAAGUUUGUCCUCACUGUUUAUGUUUAAUUAAAAAAAGUUUAAAAUGGAUUACUCAACAUGAGAAACCCUAUUUUGCUAUUUAAAAUCGAUUUUUUUAUUUUAUUUUUUUAUCAAGAGGAAACCUGCCCAACGAUACCAUCAGUUCACAUCUUUAAAUAGACUGCUAUUUUAAAGUAAAGUAAAACACGUGCCCCCUGAAGGCUUGAGGCAGGCAGGCUUGGUUUGUUUAGGGGUCAAAUGUCCUGACAACACUUGGGACAUGUAGUGUCAGGGGUGAGUAAAUCACAGGGAAAGAGGGUCGAAAUCAAAGCUGUUCAGUUUGACACAGUGGGUGCAGAAGAAAUACAUGAUGGUAACUUUCAGGUUUCUUUAAGGUCUGAAGCUGUAACCUUUGCUGUUUAAGCAGAAAAGACGUAUUCUCACAUCCCAGGUCUACCUGAAAUAAGAAGAGGAAAUAAAAACAAUGUCAUACACAUCGAAACUUCCCGCCUCCUGGAACGACGAGCGACCACAUCGGAAAGUGGAAAUCGACCUGAGCUCACCUGGACUGGCCGUGUUUGAGUUGGAAAAACUUUUGUUCACAGGCAAAGCCAUCGUCAGCCACGCAGACGAAGUGUGGCCGAGGCUUUACAUCGGUGACCAACAAUCUGCAGAAAUUCUGGCUGAUCUCUCCCAGCGGAGGUUCACUCACAUCCUGAAUGCUGCUCACAGUAAACGAAAUGGGCAGCCAGAAAUGUACGAAGGAAUGAACAUCACCUACAUGGGCAUCGAGGCUCGGGACUCCUGGGACUACGACAUGAGCGUCAACUUCCACGCGGCAGCAGACUUUAUCCACAGGGCGCUGAGCAGAGGAGGCAAAGUUCUGGUGCAUUGUCAUGUGGGAGUCAGUCGCUCGGCCACCUUGGUUCUGGCUUACCUGAUGCUGAGGGAGAACCUUCCUCUCGUGGAAGCCAUCUGUGCUGUGAAAAAUAACCGGGGGGUGAUCCCAAAUCGAGGUUUCCUUCGACAGCUCAUCAAACUGGACGGACAGCUUUUCGGCAAACAUCACUAAACCUGAUUUAUGAGUGGGCUUGAAAGAAAAAAAGUGUCAGGGACGUUCCUCAUCAUCUAUUUUGGGACUACAAAUAUGGAGCCCAUUCAGACCAGACAACAAUUGGUCAAUGGUGCUUUGGUCAAAAUGAUUGUAAUGGAUUCCCAGCCUUUUUCUGUGGUUGAUGACGCUGGCUUCAGACAGUUUGUCGGUAUUUUAGACCCAACCUACAUAAUCCCCACCAGGAAGGCUUUAAAGGAAAUGGUGAAAAAAGUUCCAUGCAGAAAAGGAAAAGGCGAAGGCAGAACUUGAGAAGGCCGCAUAAGUGAGUUUGACAAGUGACAUGUGGACAUCCAUUCAUAUGGAUACAUAUUUGGCAGUCACUUGCCAUUUUGUUAAUGAGCAGGACAAACUGUCCACAGUGCUGCUGGGAGUGGGCCAUUUUCCCAAGUCCCACACUGCAUAAAACAUAGCUGAGGUGAAGAGGGCUCUGAUGGAGGAGUGGGGCAUUCAAAACAAAGUCUGAUGCCUUGUCACUGAUGCUGCACCAAAUAUGCUAUUAUGUGCAAAAAUAUUGAAAACGCGCAACACAAAGUGUAUUGCACAUUCAAUAAACCUGAUAGUAAAGAAAUCCAUUGAUCUUGUUUGUG